CGAUGAUCAACACGACGAUGUUUCAGAGGAGAGUAGUUUGAGAGGGACAGAAUCGGUGAUGGAAGAUACUCAACUCAGCCAUUGCUGCAUCAUUGUAGAAGAUGCCCUAGGGUUUUGCUCUCGGAAUGAUAGAAUACGAUCACGGAUCUGCCUGUCGAGGAACCGAGACAUUGAUUCUGGUGAUCGGAAGAUGUUUCGAUGUAGUCGACCAUUCCGUUCAGACCAGGACCAGUAGAUACAUCCUUGCCAACAGAGUAGUGUUAAUAUUCCCUUAGGCGAUCUGCUGCUCAUUGCAUGAAGUUGUUCAAGGGUUCUGCUCAAGUUACGCUCUGGCGUUAUCCCACAACGUAACGCCAUCACACUCCAGAUGUUCCAAGUGUAGGGACAUUCGAAGAAGAGGUGAUUCCGGCUUUCAGGGGCAGUGUUACAAAGAAGGCAAAGCGGUGAAGUUUGGAGGCCCCAACUGAUUAUUCUGUCCCUGGUUGGGCAGCGGUUGAGCACAAAGAGCCAAGUGAGGAAAUUAUGUCUAGGAAUUCCUCCUUUGUUCCAGACAAUGUUACACCAAGUUACCGCUGGGCCUUGGACACACAGAUGGAUUGUAGUGAGCAGAGCUUGAACCUCAACCUGUCUAUCCGAUCGAGCAGGAGGGAGAAGCCAAGUACUGUUGGAGUGAAGCGAUGCAAGAGUUGCCAUGUCUUGAAUCCCCAGUGAUGAGUUGGUUCUUAACUGGAGAAAGUCUCUCAGGUUGCCAUAAGGAGACCAAUUAUCCGUCCAAAAACGACAGGAGAAGCGCCUGUGGGGAGCUACUGUCCAUAAGUUACUCAGAUCACCUUGUAGAACUUCUUCUCGAGAACCAAGCAACCCAAACAGAACCAGCUUUGGAGAAGAGGAGCCAAAUGAGCUUGAGACAGCAGGCUUUGUUCCAAAGAGAGAGGUCAUUUAUCCUUAAUCCUGCUUCAAUUUUUGGUCUGGUAAUAUGUUCCCAAGAGACUCGUGCGGAGUGAUGGCUCUCAAUGUUUCCUUGCCAGAGAAACACACCACACAAAGAGUUGAUACGCUUGACACACGCCUUGGGUAGGAUAAACGUUGAGCACCAGAAGGAGGCCUUCACAAUUAAGGAGAGUGAGCUUCUUGGUACAUAAUGGCACUCCCAGGUACCGCACAGGCAAGGACCCCAGAGGCAUACCCGUGGAGAAUUGCACCAGAUCGGUCUCUGCUGCUGUUAGACCCGAGGCAAAGAAUGAUGUUUUGUGGACACUCACAGCUAGACCAGAACGUUGUUCGAAAUCCCUGAGGACCUGCAGAACAGCUUGGACCGAGUCCAAAGUUCCAUCAAUGAAUAUCACUUGUUUUAGCAUGAAAGAUAGAUUAUUCAAGGCAAUUACGAAGAGAUAAGGGGAGAGAGGAUCCCCUUGACGCAAGCCUCUAGUCCCUUUGAAGUACCCAUUGACCUCGCCAUUGUAGCCUACUGUGAAACUCGUAGUACAGAUGCAGGCACGGAUCCAGGAGAUGAAGAGCGGCGGGAGAUUUAAUCCCUCGAGACAAGAGAGAAGGAAAGCCCAAGAUAAGUUUGGUUGGGGGCUAUUAACGACGACAAGAUAGGCUUUAGUCUCUUCACCAGUAGCCUAGACACGACCUUAUAGAUAGUGUUUAGGCAGGAGAUGGGCCGGUAAUCUGUUAUCUUCGAUGCUCCUGGAUGCUUCGGGACGAGGGAGAGUAUAGUGGAAUUUGUGGCUAAAGGCAUGAAGGAGGUGAGGAAAAAAUGGCGAACGGAGUUGACAACUUCAGAGCCCAAGAUAUCCCAAGAAGAUUUAUAAAAACCCGAGGUAUUGAAGUCAUGAGAAGGCUCUCAGUAGAGGAGCAUGAGUAGGGGACCAGAGAGUUGAACCAAGCUGGUGAAGAGUUAAUUCCCAUCAUAGGAGUAGGGCAAGGCCCAAGGAUGCUGGUAAAGUGUUGAAUCGCAUGCGAAGACAUGUCGAGUGGAUCUUCUUUGAGCCAAUUGGCUCAAAAAAAACAAUUCGCCGGAUAUUUGAGGCAUUGGUUUUUAACCACUAUGACUAACCAACAAACGUUAUGUCAAGUGCCGAUGCGGCCACCUUGUUCAAAUCCGGGUCUAUCUAGUAAAAAAAAUAACCCAUCCCAAACAUAUUUGCCUAACUAUAUGUACUUUGCGUCGUCUCCUUCCAUUCAUAGAAGGUGUUUGCAAUUUCAUGGGAUAUGGUAAUUGCCACCACUACAGAUUGUUUCUUGUGUUCCAUAAUGAACAGUUUGUUCUUUUAGUUGUUUUCCUAUAAGAUAAAUUGAGAGGGUCACAUACUGUUA